AGCGUGGAGACAGGUGGUGCAUGGCUGUCGUCAGCUCGUGUCGUGAGAUGUUGGGUUAAGUCCCGCAACGAGCGCAACCCUCACCCCUUGUUGCCAUCAGGUCACGCUGGGCACUCUAGGGGAACUGCCCCGGUCAACGGGGAGGAAGGUGGGGACGACGUCAAGUCAUCAUGCCCCUUACGCCCUGGGCUACACACGUGCUACAAUGGCCGGUACAAAGGGAUGCAAGACCGUGAGGUGGAGCUAAACCCAAAAAGCCGGUCUAAGUUCAGAUUGGAGUCUGCAACUCGACUCCAUGAAGGAGGAAUCGCUAGUAAUCGCGCAUCAGCACGGCGCGGUGAAUACGUUCCCGGGCCUUGUACACACCGCCCGUCACACCACGAAAGCCAGCUGUACUCGAAGUCGCUGAG
rnacentral:rRNA from 1 species